AACAAAUAUAUGAAACAUCCUACAAUGCUUCACGAAGCAACAUUCUCCUUGGACAGAGAAAUGACGAAGGCAAACAAAACUGGUAUAUCUGAAUCCGGUGAGGAGGAAGCACAGGGAGAGAGAGUUUCCGGCGAAUCAUUUGCGGAGCGCUUGGCGUCGAUAUUUGGAACAGAGAAAGACAGAGUGAACUGUCCGUUUUACUUCAAGAUCCGAGCUUGUAGACACGGUGACCGAUGCUCUCGUCUCCACACCAAACCAAGCAUCAGCCGUACUCUUCUCUUAUCAAACAUGUACCGGCGUCCUGAUAUGAUCACUCUUGGCGUCAAUGCACUGGGUAACCCUAUCGAUCCUCGCGAAAUCCAGCAAUACUUCGAGGAUCUUUAUGAGGAGCUAAGCAAAUACGGAGAAAUUGAGAGCUUGAAGUCUGUGACAAUCUUGCUGAGCACAUGGGCGUCUGAUUAUUGCGGGUUUCUCCACCGUGACAGACUUCUGUGAAGCCACCUGUAGGCAAUAUGAGGAGAACGUAUGUAAUCGUGGUGGGUACUGCAAGAAAAAGAAUUGGCAAGGAGUUGAGACGUUAAUUGUUUGGGGCAUGCAGCCAUGAAGACCCUAUAGGCAUGUAGCCAUGAAGAGUGUUCGCACGGUGGGCGAGGUUCUAGUCGAAGAUAUGAUGAUCGGGAGGAGUAUCAUGAAAGUCGGAGCAGGAGGCAUAGGAGUAUAAGCCCUGGACAUUGGAGAGGACAGAGAAAGCGUAAACGAAGCCCCGUUAGGGAACGUAGUGAGGAGAGACAUGCUAAAAUUGCACAAUGGAACCAGGCAAGGGAACAGCAUGAAAAUGCAGCUAAUAAGGUAAAACGUUGACAAUGGUAACAAGGACAAUAAGCAAAUGAUCAUGAAUAUCAGCAGCAGAAACCACUGCACUAAGGAGAAUUUGGAUACUGAUCUACUUUUGAUGUCUGGUUCGUUUUCUCUCUACUCUAAUCAUUUUCAUUUUCCAGUUGCUCAGUUAGGAUGUCAUUUUCAGCGAAUAUCGUGUUUUUAGUGUUGCAUGCAUUACAGUUGGGGACUCUGACCAAAGCACAUCAGGCUAGUGCAACAUCAAAUUUCACAGUUCUAAAUUGGGUUUUGCUUCAUAAACUCUCGUCUUUUUUUUUUUUUAUGGAGAAAUAAAUAGAGGUCCCAACAUUUUAAUGAGUUUUGCAGGUUCAGGUAUCCCUGCUUCUUCGAGACACAAUUAUUUUAGCUGCAGCUUACCAUGAAAUUUGUGUACAGGGUCCGAGGAUCUGUUAGACUAAAGUUCAAAAUCAUCCAGAAGCAGAUUGAUUGUUCAUGAGGUGAUUUAGGAUUUCUAGUGAUAAGUAAGUCUUGUUGCAGAUUAGGUCUGGCGUAGCGUAAUGAUAAAGAAUUUAAGAUUUGCAUAACAGACUUCGAGUUCGAGUCAGGACUUAUAAUUUUUAUAAAAGCCUAAACAGCUAGAUUUUUUACUCACUCACUUAAAAAAAUAAUAUGUAGAGAUAAGUUUCCUCAAAUCUAAAAAAAAUAAAUCUUGUAGCAUAUUAGGAGUCGCAGUUGCGUUUAUCUGUCUUUUUGGGGCCGCUCUGAGCAUGUUAUUGUUAGACGUUCAAUAUUUUGACAUUUGUAGGUUGUGCAAGAUUUGGAAAAACGAAAUCCAUUCCAGCAAGUUUAAAAUUUUAAUUUGUGUGGA